GAUGAACGCUAGCGGCAGGCUUAACACAUGCAAGUCGAGGGGCAGCACGGGUAGCAAUACCUGGUGGCGACCGGCGCAAGGGUGCGUAACGCGUGAGCAACAUGCCCUAUACAGGGGGAUAAUCCAGGGAAACUUGGUCUAAUAUCCCAUAGUAUUUAGAGGAGGCAUCUUCUAUAAAUUAAAGCUUCGGUGGUAUAGGAUUGGCUCGCGUGACAUUAGCUAGAUGGUGAGGUAACGGCUCACCAUGGCAAUGAUGUCUAGGGGUUCUGAGAGGAAGGCCCCCCACACUGGGACUGAGACACGGCCCAGACUCCUACGGGAGGCAGCAGUGAGGAAUAUUGGACAAUGGAUGGAAAUCUGAUCCAGCCAUGCCGCGUGCAGGAAGACAGCCCUAUGGGUUGUAAACUGCUUUUAAUGGGAGCAAUAAGGUCCACGUGUAGACUGAUGAGAGUACCAUAUGAAUAAGC
rnacentral:rRNA from 1 species